rnacentral:lncRNA from 1 species
CCCGGAAGUUGAUUGUGUGCUGACCUUCAGUGAGCCAGUGAGCCCUGUGCCAGCAAAGAAAGGAUCCCUGGCCCUUGUUGGAGCCUCAGUUUUUUUCACCUGCUGAAUGGACACAGAUCUGUCCAACUCACUAGUUGAUUUCAAGGAUGAGACGAACCUGUCCCAUAGCCAAGAAAACUGAGGCCAAAGAUGUCUGAAGUCAGAGCCAUUUAUCUUCCAUCCCCCGCAGGGGUGUCCACUGUGCCUGCCCCGGUCAUAAUGGCUUUCUGCUAAGGAUGUCACCACACCUUCUUGAUGGAGACUUGCC